GAUGAAGAACGUAGCGAAACGCGAUAAGUAAUGUGAAUUGCAGAAUUCAGUGAAUCAUCGAAUCUUUGAACGCACAUUGCGCCCGGCAGUACUCUGCCGGGCAUGCCUGUUCGAGCGUCAUUUCAACCCUCAAGCCCUGCUUGGUGUUGGGGUCCCACGGCCGCCGUGGGCCCUGAAAGGAAGUGGCGGGCUCGCUACAACUCCGAGCGUAGUAAUUCAUUAUCUCGCUUAGGGCGUUGGGCGGCGCUCCUGCCGUUAAAGAUCCAUCUUUAACUCAAGGUUGACCUCGGAUCAGGUAGGAAUACCCGCUGAACUUAAGCAUAUCAAUAAGCGGAGGA
rnacentral:misc_RNA from 1 species